rnacentral:rRNA from 1 species
AGUCGAGGGGUAUAGGAAGCUUGCUUCCUAGAGACCGGCGCACGGGUGCGUAACGCGUAUGCAAUCUACCUUUUGCAGAGGGAUAGCCCAGAGAAAUUUGGAUUAAUACCUCAUAGUAUAGCAGUUUCGCAUGAAACCACUAUUAAAGUCACAACGGCAAAAGAUGAGCAUGCGUCCCAUUAGCUUGUUGGUAAGGUAACGGCUUACCAAGGCAACGAUGGGUAGGGGUCCUGAGAGGGAGAUCCCCCACACUGGUACUGAGACACGGACCAGACUCCUACGGGAGGCAGCAGUGAGGAAUAUUGGACAAUGGGCGCAAGCCUGAUCCAGCCAUGCCGCGUGCAGGAUGACGGUCCUAUGGAUUGUAAACUGCUUUUGUACAGGAAGAAACACUGGUUCGUGAACCAGCUUGACGGUACUGUAAGAAUAAGGAUCGGCUAACUCCGUGCCAGCAGCCGCGGUAAUACGGAGGAUCCAAGCGUUAUCCGGAAUCAUUGGGUUUAAAGGGUCCGUAGGCGGUUUAGUAAGUCAGUGGUGAAAGCCCAUCGCUCAACGGUGGAACGGCCAUUGAUACUGCUAGACUUGAAUUAUUAGGAAGUAACUAGAAUAUGUAGUGUAGCGGUGAAAUGCUUAGAGAUUACAUGGAAUACCAAUUGCGAAGGCAGGUUACUACUAAUGGAUUGACGCUGAUGGACGAAAGCGUGGGUAGCGAACAGGAUUAGAUACCCUGGUAGUCCACGCCGUAAACGAUGGAUACUAGCUGUUGGGCGCAAGUUCAGUGGCUAAGCGAAAGUGAUAAGUAUCCCACCUGGGGAGUACGUUCGCA